GGGCGCAAGCCUGAUGCAGCCAUGCCGCGUGUAUGAAGAAGGACUUCGGGUUGUAAAGUACGUUCAGCAGUGAGGAAGGUGGAUAUGUUAAUAGCAUAUUCAGUUUGACGUUAGCUGCAGAAGAAGCACCGGCUAACUCCGUGCCAGCAGCCGCGGUAAUACGGAGGGUGCGAGCGUUAAUCGGAAGUUACUGGGCGUAAAGCGCAUGCAGGUGGUUUGUUAAGUCAGAUGUGAAAGCCCCGGGGCUCAACCUCGGAAUUGCAUUUGAAACUGGCAAACUAGAGUACUGUAGAGGGGGGUAGAAUUUCAGGUGUAGCGGUGAAAUGCGUAGAGAUCUGAAGGAAUACCGGUGGCGAAGGCGGCCCCCCUGGACAGAUACUGACACUCAGAUGCGAAAGCGUGGGGAGCAAACAGGAUUAGAUACCCUGGUAG
rnacentral:rRNA from 1 species